GUGGUGGAAGGUUUGCAGUGUGCUGGCCUGUCCCGAUAUAGGCUGAGUCUUGAUCCACCAGAAGGCUUUCUGCACAUCAGCCAGUUUUCGUGGUGAAGAUUUGGGUCUCGGAAUUCUCCUGUAUGCUUAUGAUUCUUACCAUCAACUUGUUUCCUUGGUAACCCACUCCUGCUGUCUUGAUGAUGGCUUCCUGUGGUCAGGAGACUUCUGGCUGGAGGCUUGACCCCACUUUUCCUGAUGAAUGACCUUUAGAGGUGGCUCCAGCCCCAGGGCCUGACACGUGGCCUGGCUCAGAGUGAACUCUUGAGAAACGUUAGUACACUGAAAAACAAUGAAAAAAAAAAAAGAAUGAAGAAAGAAGAGUCAAGGCAGAUCAACCAGGAUCGACGCAUCUGUGUCCCUCAAGUUAAUGACAUUUGAUAAACAACUUCUUUGUCUGUUCCUUCCCUUUGUCUGUAGCCCAGGAGACACAGUGACAGAAGGACAAUGCCUGGGCCUGAGCUGGGGGCUGCAUUCCAUUGCUGCCUCUUCCUGGCACAACCUAUAAUUGUUCUAACCCAGCAGAACUUCCGUGUUUGCAUUUGUCUUAAUGGGAGUAAUAACAACAACUUCACAGUGCAAUAAAUAAAUAAUGGAUAUAAAGUGAGGUGCUUGUCACACGGCCAGAGAUAAGUAAAUUUUUGCUUCCUCUUGCACUUUGUCAAGGUUUAGUUUCUUGCUUGAAGGUAACAGAAUUCAACUUUAAGCAAACUUAAACAGCAGAGGGAAUUUAUAGGUAGAGUCCUAGGGUGUGUCAUAAAGUCCAGGGAGCCUCUGAAAGCCAGGUUCAGGAGGGACCAUGAGCUGCUCUGGAGCUGGAGCAGUAGGGACGCCUAGGCCUUCACUUAAGUGUGGUGGUGACUUGCAUUUGGUUUGACCAAGGAGAAUACUGACUGGUUCUUGAGUCGGGUGCACUCCCCCUCUUGGUCUGAUCAUGGUCAAAGGAGCAGGGUCUCUUAGAAUGAACAGGGAAUGAAAGCCAGAAGCACCUCUUUCAUGGGAGAAGUUGGUUAUGCUCAAAGAACAGGGGUAGGACAUAAACAGGUGGUCUGUUUUAGUUAUACUUUUCUGAGUCAGUUCUUCUACGAGAUUGUCCUGGAGUCACCCAGCUGGUGACAUUAGUUAUCUCCCUAGCAACGCUUUAUUCUUCACUUUGGGCACUUAAUGCCAUUGCUUGUAACUUGGUAUGUGUCUGUUCUUCUCCUCCCUAUGCCUCUGCAUCCCUCAAAUGUAUGUAUCUGUUCUUCUCCCCAUGCCUCUGCAUUCUUCAAAUGUAGGGGCCUUGUCUGAUUAUCUCCUUGUAUCUCCAUGAUAAGCAAAGUGACCAGCACAAAAUGUAGGGGCCUUGUCUGAUUAUCCCUUUGUAUCUCUAUAGUAAGCAAAGUGACCAGUACAUAAUGGGCUUGAUGACUGUGUGUGCUUGGCUGAG
rnacentral:lncRNA from 1 species